AUUCCGGCGGCCCACGCAGGGGCGGAGCGGAGCCGUGUGGGGCGGAGUCGCAUCCGGGAGGGACGGUCCGACCUUCGUUGGGGGCGGGCGGGCGGAGCGGAGGCCGCGGCGGGGCGGGGAGCCAAGGGCGAUGCCUCUGUACAACUUAGACCAGACCCAUUGUUCCAGGCUAUAAACCAUUUAGUUUUAAGAAUUAUAUUCUGAAAAAUUAAGAAUUUUUUUAUGGUUAUGAUCUGCAACUGUACCAUAUUACUUCAGACUCACAAACAUCAGUUAAUGACAUAGGUGUUAUUAAGAAGCCUCACUUCUAUUGUUUCCGAAAAAGGGCUGCUCCUCAUGAAAGCUUUAUGAAACAUAUUGGCAAAUAACAACUUCUGCAUGGUAUUUAAAAUGAGAUGGUUCUGGUCAUUGAACUCCGGCUCUAAGGUGAAGUAAAACACUGUUCCCUUGGAGAAAUUAAUUUGGGUACUUUUUGCUAAAAAUCUCUUAACAGUUAAAAGGUCUUAACAAAGUUAAGAUAGGUCUCAUAUAGGAAUGUUUUUGAUUACUUUGUGCUUUGGAGCUUAUUGACAUUUUCAGGUUAUCUUCAUUCUCUUCAGAAGACUUCAUAUUGGAAUCUAUGAAUUCUCUAAUAGCUAGAGUAAAACAGAACAAAAUAAAGCUAUAAUUUAAAUUAUAAUCCAUUUCCCACCAGAGUGAUAAACCAUACAAGUACCAUUUUUAUUUGGCAUUUUACUGCCAUACUAUCCAUAUCUUGCAAAUUUCUUGCAAAAUGGUUACAAGAAGUUAUUUUGGAUCAAGUGUCUUCUUUUGUCUGCUGUUUAAGCUUUAAUAGCACCUCAAUAUUAAUAUUCUAGUAAGCAUUGGAUUUAAAAUUAAUUAAGCUAUCUUUAAUAAAUUUUUAAAUGCCCAAUAGAAUAAGAAUUUUAAAUUACAAAAAUUCUUGCAAUACUACAUUUUGGUCAGAAUUUUACAAUGGCAAAUAGAAUCAGGAAUGUUUUAAAACUUUUUAAAACAAAAUUAUUUUGAUAAAUAAUAUUUAGUGUUUUAAUAAUAUAAGCCUAUCUUUUUCUUUCUGUUUUGCUCCUUUGGGUUUUUUUUUUUAGCUUUCUCAAAAUAGCUCAAGUUAGUAUAUAUUACUAAGUAUACUUUCAUUUUGAUCUUUAAAAAUAACCUAGUCCCAUGGUCUGUAUCUGCCCUUCCAACUGUAAGAUUGUAGAAUAAGAACUCAAUAAUAUUUUGGAUAGCAUUUUAGAUGGUAGAUAUGGUGCUUUGAACUUCAUUAUCUACUUAGAUGUAGUUGCAAUUUAAUAUUGAUGUCCUCUCCACCAGUAUAAAUUACAACCCCUUUAUACCUUCAUCUUUUGUAUGUUUUUUCAUUCAGUUCUUUUCAUAAAUCCUCCAUAGGAAUUGGGGAGGAGGAGGGUUCCAUCCAAUGUACUGAAGACUUCCUCUGUUUCUUUUAAUAUCUCAUUAUAGUGCUUUCCAUUUGUUUCUAAUUCUCACUACAUGACUUUGCUUACACAUAUCCUUAAUUAUAUCUUCUCUACAAAUAAACCUAUUUAUAUCUACCAUGUAUCCUUGAAACAGUCUUGAAAUCAUCUAUAAUUCUGAUUACUAGGAAAUUGUGUUAUUAUUUUAUUUGAAGCUAUUGAAUGCUGUUGGUAUUUAAAAAUUGAGUUUUUGCAGCAGCAGAAUCAUCAGAGGUUCUAUAGUUUGCCAAAUGUGAUUCAGCCUGAUAUUGCUUACUUAAUUUUGAGCUUAGUUAAUUAUUCUUCUGCAACACUUUUCCAUAGUUGGACUGUAUAGUUGCACUAAUUGAGUGGGCUAGUAGCCUGUCAUAAUCUGAACAACUUCAUUUUUCCAUUUUAGAUUGGUAAUCUUUUAAAAAUUUUUACCAGUUUCACUGAGGUGCCUCAAGAGUGUGCUAUGAUUUCAGCAAGUAAUACAAUGUAAUCUAUAAUUAGAGCACUUAGAAAAACCUCACCAUCAAAAGGGGAUCGUUUUUGUUUGGACUCUACAAGACAUCUAAUGUACUGGCAGACAUUAUAGAUGAGCAUAUAUCUCUCUGGUUAUAUGCCUUGUAUGUGAUGUCAGUGUUAGGCAGAUCAAAUAAAAUUAAUCUCCAUAGGCAUAAUUAUCAUUAAAUCUUAUUUAAUCUUAACAUAUUCCCUGUCCUGCCUUUAAGGCUUUGCUUAUAAAUUUUCUCAUGCUUAGAAUAGACAUCCCUAGCUCCAUAUGCAUAUCAUGACCAUGCCUUUUUUCCAUCUCUUCCAUAAAUUCAAUUGCAAGCUCCUCCAUAAAACUUUCCGACACAUUUUUCCCUUUUCCUGUUCCAAGUGAAAGUGAUCUUACCCUCAUUGAAAUUCUCAUGGCAUUUUGCUUAGACCUAGAAUUGACAUUUAUCUCACUUUCCUUCACUUCAUAGGGUUUAGGUGUUUUUUUUUUUCUUUACUGAUCACAUUUUCCCUCAUAUCAGACUGC